GCAACAAUGAAACUCAAAGGAAUUGACGGGGGCCCGCACAAGCGGAGGAACAUGUGGUUUAAUUCGAUGAUACGCGAGGAACCUUACCCGGGUUUAAAUGCAGGACGAAGUAUUGGGAAACUGAUAUGUCUUCGGACGGACUGCAAGGUGCUGCAUGGCUGUCGUCAGCUCGUGCCGUGAGGUGUCGGGUUAAGUCCCAUAACGAGCGCAACCCCUAUCGUUAGUUGCUAGCAGGUAAUGCUGAGGACUCUGGCGAGACUGCCACCGUAAGGUGUGAGGAAGGUGGGGAUGACGUCAAGUCAGCACGGCCCUUAUAUCCGGGGCUACACACGUGUUACAAUGGUAGAUACAAAGGGCAGCUACACCGCGAGGUGAUGCUAAUCUCGAAAAUCUAUCUCAGUUCGGAUUGGAGUCUGCAACUCGACUCCAUGAAGUUGGAUUCGCUAGUAAUCGUAUAUCAGCAACGAUACGGUGAAUACGUUCCCGGGCCUUGUACACACCGCCCGUCAAGCCAUGGAAGCUGGGGGUACCUGAAGUCUGCAACCGUAAGGAGCGGCCUAAGGUAAAACUGGUAACUGGGGCUAAGUCGUAACAAGGUA
rnacentral:rRNA from 1 species